rnacentral:lncRNA from 1 species
AAGAACAAAAGUGGUUCCAAAUAGGGUGUUUUAUAACAUAGUGAAGUCACAUUCAAUUCUAAAAUUAUCUCUUGGUCCUCACGAGCGCGUAGGAAUUCGCGGAUCUCAAUUCGGACAACGAUUGAACCCCGAACGGAUCUCGCAUAUUAUGCGAUUUUCGGAUUCGAUACGUUUGAACUGUUAGAUCGUAGUCAUCUUCAUAUACGUUGAUCCAGAAAAUUCAAGGAUCGUGUAGGUUUCGAUGGAUCGUGAAUCAGAGUCCCAGAUACUCCGAAAAGGCCAACCUUAGGGUUGGGUUUACAGUAAUCAUCUAGUCAAGCGAUCGUGAGCGAUCUGACCAUCCGAUCGAAACUGUACUCUCGGGACAUAUGUCCUAGGUAUGUUAGAACCUCUAGGAACCCUCGGACCGGAAUUUUAAGUUCGUGGACCCCACGGGGUCCCGGGUUGACUUGUUGGAAUUUUAUCGCUUCUAAGUCCCAAGGCACUUUUAGACCACUCUAAACCUUGGGAAACGCUAUUGUGACCAUGGAAAUGACUUUAAAGUUUAUGCAUGUAUUUCUAGGAACCCAGGGCUAGGGUUUCAGAUAAAAUAACGUUGAUGAGCUCUAUUGUUUAUGUAUGAGCUUUUAGGAAGUUCAUGUACGUGCGA